GGGCCCGCACAAGCGGUGGAGCAUGUGGUUUAAUUCGAUGCAACGCGAAGAACCUUACCAUCCCUUGACAUCCACAGAAGAGACUAGAGAUAGACUUGUGCCUUCGGGAACUGUGAGACAGGUGCUGCAUGGCUGUCGUCAGCUCGUGUUGUGAAAUGUUGGUUAAGUCCCGCAACGAGCGCAACCCUUAUCCUUAGUUGCCAGCACAUUAUGGUGGGAACUCUAAGGAGACUGCCGGUGACAAACCGGAGGAAGGUGGGGACGACGUCAAGUCAUCAUGGCCCUUACGGCCUGGGCUACACACGUGCUGACAAUGGCUAGGACAGACGGCCGCAAACCCGCGAGGGGGGAG
rnacentral:rRNA from 1 species